UAAUAAGUGUUUUAUGGUACUUUUUAAAUCCAUAUCCACCUUGUGUGCAAUGUCAGUCGAUCUUCUUCAUGGAGAUCGACCAAACAUCAACCUUUAUCUUUUAACUCUUUGUCUGAAAAAUAUUAUGAAUAAACAAUUCAAAAUA
rnacentral:misc_RNA from 1 species